rnacentral:rRNA from 1 species
UACAGAGGUCUCAAGCGUUGUUCGGAUUCAUUGGGCGUAAAGGGUGUGUAGGUGGCGCCGUAAGUCGGGUGUGAAAUCUCGGGGCUUAACUCCGAAACUGCAUUCGAUACUGCGGUGCUUGAGGACUGGAGAGGAGACUGGAAUUCAUGGUGUAGCAGUGAAAUGCGUAGAUAUCAAGUGGAACACCAGUGGCGAAGGCGAGUCUCUGGACAUUUCCUGACGCUGAGGCACGAAAGCCAGGGGAGCAAACGGG